GAAAAUAUUGCCAAGCAGAAUUGCAUAAGAGGAGGGUUGCAAGGCCGUGUUAAGCAUAACAAGCUCGUCAGCUGAAGACUCAAGCCAAGAAGUAAAAUUUGAAGAUCAGAUUUGAAGACCAAAAGUUCGACGGACUUUGAACGAAGAGAAGUAAGCUUAUUUGAAAAGAUUUCCAUAAUGUAAUAUUUUUAUAAUGUAAUAAAUAUUCCAUAAUGUAAUAUUUCCUUCUGAUUACUAAGUCUAAGAGCAUUUUUGUAUAAGCUAAGGCCCGCAUUUGAUCUGGUCUACCACUGCAUGUAGUAGCUCGUAUAUAUAUAGGGCUUUUGUGGUGAUGAGCUUGCACGUUUAAAAGCAUACAAAUAAUCAUUCCUUGCCCUAAAGAAUAUGUACUACAGAAAUUGGCGGUGAAUUAUAUGGUGGUGAAACAAAUAUAAUUUAUCUGGUUAUUAUUAAAAGGGGGAGGGGAGGGGGGCGAAUCUCCCGUCUUGGCACAGAGGGGGGAAGCGCGGGGUUUGUACAUGGCAUUUAAUUGUUUUGUUAAAAGUAGUUAAUUUUUGGGUCGAACUAUGGAACGAUCAAGUGGGAUAAAAUUUUCCCAAUAUGAAGGCUUUUUUUAUUUUAUAAAAUAGUAUUAUAACAGCUAGACCUUGUUUCAUUACAACUGAAAUAUUUCGAAGACCCCAUGACGUUAAAAAUAGCGUCCCACCGAGGCGGUCAAUAUCAGGUGGGAACGUGGGAUAAAACAGUCACAUGAACAGAGAAAUAAUAUAUCGCACUCAGGUGAGCUUCCCGGAAAACCGCGCGGGCUCAUUUGUACAGGCCGUUAUAGAUUAUUUAUAUAUUUUAACUUGUUUACCCUAUAGAUUCCUAUGACCAUGACAUCCACUACCACGAAAAUACUUUUCUUGACUUUCGCUGUCAUGUAUAUGAUGGUCAUAGCUACAGCUCAGCUUACAACUCCGGUACCACUACAAGUAAGUCAUUGCAGGUCAAGUAAGUCAUUGCAGUGCAAUUUUUAAAAUACGGUAAAUUAGGCAAGAUAUUUUUAUUCCUUGGUUUACACGGAUGCGCCGGUUUUGGCGAGAUCUAGCCCAACCUCUUAAAACCGCCAGCUAUAAGGUUAGGCGAGAUCCCGUCUUUGACUCUUUGUUAUUAUUACCUAUUAAAUUUCGUCUUGCAGCUUUUAUAUGGAAACCGAGCUGGUCCGCCUAAGCGAGAUACCACGUCGACUGACUCGAGAUCGCGCUAAAGCCGGGACAGAGUUUUCCAUAUGAACGAAGUGACCCUGGCUGUCUCGCCUGUACCCGGGCUGAAUGUAUUAAUGCUUUGUUUGGGCUAUUAUAAUGUUAAUCUUAAAAGAUCUCUGUGAUCAUUUCUGUGAGUUGCAACUUUGAAACUGGUCAAGUAUAUUUCAGGUUGGAAAAUUUAAAUUGCUUCAAUGUGUAUAACUCAGCUACCCUGUACCGAUGUCAUGCUAAAUUGUUUUGGCGAGCCAACCCAUCUAAAGAGCCAUGUAGCUAAACACGUGGUUCAAUUCGUCUUGGAAAAGCUAGCUAAAUAUGUAGCCCGGGUACCAUACGGGCCUCCAAAUAAACAGUUGUAGGAUUUUAGACGUAACCAGCGAAAAAUUCAACUAUAGACCCUCUGGUAGGAAUCGGAAAAAAAUUGUAUAUAUUUUUCCGUUCGAAAUUUCCAUCUACAAAAUUCCUUCAACUGUUAGUUGGCUAUCAAGCGAGAUGCCCCCAAUUCUCCAUAUAAACAGCCCCUAAUUUAAGGUAUACAGAUACACGUGCAAUAUUUUUCUGGCGAUGGCGUAUACAAUGUAAGGGACCGUUCAUUAGAGAGGUUAAGAUACCCCGGUUUCGGUGUACGUGUACGAGUAGUGUCAUCUUGUUUUACUGAUGUCUGUAAUUCGAUCAUACUUUUUCUGUUUUCUUGCAAUAGACAAUGAUAUAAUGCGAAAAAUGUGCACCUUAAUUACGAGUAAAGGUACAGACAUCGACGAAAAUAUUGCUAACCAAAAUCAUACUACCCGUACACGUACACCGAAACCGGGGUAUCUUAACCUCUCUAUUAUUUAUACCUGGGGUUGGUACCGAAGAGAAGCGAAAAACACUGUAAUUUUUUUAUUUACUCAACCUCGACAUUGGUCAAAACAUUUUUUACCCAACCCACGUGUUACUGCAUGUACUUCAUAAUAAUUAAACACACAAGAUUAUGGUGAUAGAAAUCAAGUUGCCUAAAUUCUAAAAGCUCACUCACACUCAAACUCACUGAGUGUGCCAAAGCAAUCACGUUCCUACUGAUCAAUUAAUGAUGUUAUAUGUAAACAACGAGUUUGAGUGUUUCAUCAGGGGACUGUAUGAAACACGAGCGCGAAGCGCGAGUGUUUUAUUGUUUUCGAGUGUUUGGUCCCCUGAUGAAACACGAGAAACGAGUUGUUUACACAACAUCUCAAACGAAAACAUUUCAUUGGCUUAUAUAUAUUAUUAUAGUAUAUUGUUGUGUUUUUGACUUGAAUUUGUAAUUAGGAUCUCAGUUAUUAGAUGAAAACCGUUUUUCAUCUAACAACAGUGAUGGUAUAUGAUUUUUAGCGUGUUUCCUGCGGUAUCCAACCUCAAUCAUGUGACGAAUUAGGGUGAGUUCAUUCGCUAAUGAACAAAUUCAUGAGCUAGUCAAAACCUUGAUUAUACCCAACCCAUAUCUCUUCGGUACCAACCCCGGGUAUAAAUAAUGAACGGUCCGGCCUAAUGGAAAGAAAGCGUUACGAGUUCAUCACUUGUCGACAUGUUGUUUUUUGUCUCUAUAAUUACCACAAAUAAACACUCUGGUUAAAAUUUUCUGGUUAACCUAGAAAUAACUCUAUUUGGGUUAAUAUUCUGCUUAAAUUUUUUUGUAAUUUUAUCCUUUUUCUUACUGUAGUCUAGUUAAUUUGACCAGGACUUCCUGCUUAUAAAAUUAACCAGACUAUAUAUAUGUUAGGUGGAUAAAUAACCAGGAGCCCUUAUGGUUACCUAUAUCCACCUAACAUAGUCUGGUUAAUUUAACCAGGACAACCAGGAAACUUAACCAGGAAUAUUAAGUAAUCCAAAUAUAUGUUAUUUACCGGCUGCGAAGUCACAGUUUUUCUAAUCCGGAUUGCAUGACGCUGCCGGUAAAUGACGUGUUUAUUUUUUAGCAGAUGUAAAAUUAAAUUCAUUAAAAUUCCAGUGUUGCAUGCGAACUAACCUGAAAUCAGUCCGGUUGUGUAGCUAUUAAAGCGAGGAUGACAAAAAUUGAAAAGUUGAAAGAUAAACAUGAAUACGAAAACUCGAGAAAACUGGCAAGAAACACACCUGAAACACACAAAAAGACAUAUAGUUUUAGUAAAAUGGCACAUGCUUUUUCAUGACUAUAUAGGUAGCAGAAAAGCAUUGCAUGCAGGCCUAAUAAAAAGCUUAGACUUAGGCCUGACGCUUUGGCAAAUUCAGUUGCUUCCGACAAACGACAGGUUCAUGUUCACUUACUUUACCGAUCAAAAACACAUAUAAAUAAAUCUGUUAUGAUUUAAUCAACGCUUUUCUACUAUAAAACGAAAUGAAGAAGGUAUGCGGUUUUUAAAUUUUGUAUUUCUCUGGUCGUUUCACGAUAAUAUGCUGAAAAAUGUGUUUUUAAACACAGACUUUGACUUUGCAUGUUUACAAUUAUAUUUAUAUCAGUGAAAUAUGCAUGACACAAAUGGGUAGAGAACAUAUUGCUUCAUUCAUCAUCCUGCGUGGCAGGCCCUCAAUUUUAUGGGGGGGGGGCUGAUUUGCAGCGGGCACGGGGGAGGAUUCAGGCUCCCCAUAAAAUUGAGGGCCUGCCACGCAGGCUACAUUUUCACUGUUAAAAAAUAAAUAGGAUUGUUAUAUAGCUAGUGUGAACACCAAACGUGAUUGGCUGAUUUGUAGUCACGUGGCUUUAGAUAAAUGCAAUGUAUCCCGCCCGGGCAAUAAGUGAAAAAUUGUUGCCCGCCCGGACCGGCUAUACCUAAACAAAAUGGCGGCACAAAUUUAUACUAUUUAAACUACUGUUUUCGUGGCUUUGUGUUAAAAUAAAGAAUGUAAAAGUGAAGAAAAAUACAUAACAGGCAACAGGAUAUGCUGCUGAAACCAUUUAAGUAGGUUUUUUAAAUUUUAAACUCGUUUACGCUAUAGAGUUUUUGUCAUGAAAUACAAAUAUUGUUGUAUGAAUGUUGUUCAAUGUUGAUAUUUGUUUCGUCGCUAUAUAUAACAAAACACUUAACGUCUUUUCCCUCGGGAAAUAGUUAGUUUUGUUUUCCCUCGAAUCUCAAUGUUUCCCUCGACUUCGUCUCGGGAAACAUUGAGAUUCUCGGGAAAACAAAACUAACUAUUUCCCUCAGAUGCAGACAUCAAGUGUAUAUUAUUUCUAGGUUAAGCAGGAAAAUUUUAACCAGGGUGUUUUUUUAGUAUAUACACUCCACCAAUGCAUGCAAUGUAUAUACUCUUCAACUGUUGCGAUACCGUUGAUCGCGGCAAAAAUAUUGCUCGUAUAUUCGAAGUUUUAUCUCAUUGUUCUAUUUUUAGUGUCCGUUCGACUGCAACAAAGUAUGUAAUGUGAAACCAGAGGGCAGUUUAUAUUGCGACCUUAAGAUCAGGAAGUGUUGCCAGAACGUUUGUGCGUCUUAUCAAAAGUGUGUCGAAACUCAACUUGAAUUGGCGUGUUAUGCUGAAACCUUGGAUUCUAUCUGCACAUGUAGAAAAUUAUCCUAACGUUACCAAAAAAUAAAGAACAUUUGAUUAUCAGUGGCUUCAGAUGUAUCUUAAUUAAUUUAUAGUACAGCUUGGGAUUGAACUAUCUUAUAUAUCAAGUGUUCUCGUAUAGUGUAAAGGAUUCAUAGUGUAGUAAGUCAAUAGAGUAUAAUUCUAAUGUACCUCUAGCUAAAUGCUCA